GACAGAGGAGGCGAGCGUUAUCCGGAGUUAUUGGGCGUAAAGGGUACGUAGGCGGCUGGUCAAGUCUGGGGUUAAAGACCACAGCUUAACUGUGGGAAGGCCCUGGAAACUGACCGGCUAGAGUGAGGUAGGGGUUGCGGGAAUUCCCGGUGUAGCGGUGAAAUGCGUAGAUAUCGGGAAGAACACCUGAGGCGAAAGCGCGCAACUGGGCCCUAACUGACGCUGAGGUACGAAAGCUAGGGGAGCGAAUGGG
rnacentral:rRNA from 1 species